rnacentral:rRNA from 1 species
GACGAACGCUGGCGGCGUGCUUAACACAUGCAAGUCGAACGGAAAGGCCCUGCUUUUGUGGGGUGCUCGAUUGGCGAACGGGUGAGUAACACGUGAGUAACCUGCCCUUGACUUUGGGAUAACUUCAGGAAACUGGGGCUAAUACCGGAUAGGAGCUCCUGCUGCAUGGGGGGGGUUGGAAAGUUUCGGCGGUUGUGGAUGGACUCGCGGCUUAUCAGCUUGUUGGUGGGGUAGUUGCUUACCAAGGCUUUGACGGGUAGCCGGCCUGGGAGGGUGACCGGCCACAUUGGGACUGAGAUACGGCCCAGACUCCUACGGGAGGCAGCAGUGGGGAAUAUUGCGCAAUGGGCGGAAGCCUGAUGCAGAAACGCCGCGUGCGGGAUGACGGCCUUCGGGUUGUAAACCGCUUUCGCCUGUGACGAAGAGUGAGUGACGGUAAUGGGUAAAGAAGCACCGGCUAACUACGUG